CCGGAUGGUGGAAUCGGUAGACACAAGGGAUUUAAAAUCCCUCGGCGUUCGCGCUGUGCGGGUUCAAGUCCCGCUCCGGGUACCAUG
rnacentral:tRNA from 1 species